rfam:Oryza nivara chromosome 3, whole genome shotgun sequence.
AAUAAGCACAGUUGUGAGUUUCAGUGCCCAACUUUGACUAUCCGUAAUAUUUUCAUGAUUAGUAUUUUUAUUGUUAUUAGAUAAUAAAAUAUAAAUAAUACUUUAUGCGUGACUUAACUUUUUAAAAAAAUUUCAUAAAAUUUUCAAAUAAGACGGCCAAACAUUGAGCACGGAAACUUAUGGCUGCACUUAUA